GCUGCGCUACCGCCCAACUCCCAACCCAGACAAACUCUUAAGGUCCAUUUGUAGGAGAACAUAGAGUAGUCAAGCUUCCAAGACUCCAGACACAUCCAAACGAGGCACUGCAUGUGGCAGUCUGUCUUUCUUU
rnacentral:snRNA from 1 species